AUUGAACGCUGGCGGCAGGCCUAACACAUGCAAGUCGAACGAGUGGCGGACGGGUGAGUAAUGUCUGGGACACUGCCCGAUGGAGGGGGAUAACUACUGGAAACGGUAGCUAAUACCGCAUACCAUCGGAUGUGCCAAGAUGGGAUUAGCUAGUAGGUGGGGUAAGGGCUCACCAAGGCGACGAUCCCUAGCUGGUCUGAGAGGAUGAACAGCCACACUGGAACUGAGACACGGUCCAGACUCCUAAGGGAGGCAGCAGUGGGGAAUAUUGCACAAUGGGCGCAAGCCUGAUGCAGCCAUGCCGCGUGUAUGAAGAAGGCCUUCGGGUUGUAAAGUACUUUCAUCGGGGAGGCGUUACCCGCAGAAGAAGCACCGGCUAACUCCGUGCCAGCAGCCGCGGUAAUAC
rnacentral:rRNA from 1 species